AUGUUACAGACAGAUGGCUCCUGGUCUGGCUGUGACUGUGGCAGCGGGCCGGUCGGCCAGGCCCACGCCAAGCUCCCCUCAGGCAGCCUACAGACCGUGGCUUCAGCUGUGGGGAGGAAACAGAGCUUCUCCUCGUGCUCCCAUCCUGUCCUUUGCAGUGAAGGAGCACGCAGCGGUGAUUGUACCUGCCCUGCUGGCAGGUGUUUUUGGGCUGAUACCUGCCUAAACCGUGCUGACCUGCUGCCAAGCACUUGGAGCUUCCUGCUGCGUCCCAGGGGACUGCUGAGAAUUGAGAUCUGCUCGAGUUACGUUAUAGCACACUGCUUUAUUAAAGCCCCCAGAAAUUAUAGAGGAAAGUCACUGUGUUUCAAGAAAGCAAACCUUGGGAUAGUUUCAAGUCUUAUGGGAUUGGAAGAGAAGGAAGCAGGGAAGGCUUUUGUAAAGAAAACCCACAAGUAUAUUAGGUAGGUCAAGAUGUAUAUAUUAAUAUUUGAUAAAACAUUGCCUCUGUAAGCAUCAUCAACGCCAACUUGGAAGAGGUGGUUUUUUCACUGACCCAAAGACACGAGGGAUCUGGCUGUUUCAUGUAUGCCCUGUGAGAUCCUUGACCACUAGCUGAUUCCUGAGCUUCUCACUAUUUCAUGAGUUAUUGAAUUUCUUCCAAAGCCUAUCAGCUCCUUCCCCUUCUAAUAAGAAGAAUAAAAAUGAAAAUUGGAAGAUGCCCGUGGAAGAG
rnacentral:lncRNA from 1 species